CCAAACAUACGAAGUGUAUCCUUUCCUGUAGUCAAAUGACCAAAUCACCCUGAUGUGGAAUCAUGGGUUUCUAUGUCAAACGGCUUAGUUAUAUUUCAGUCUUCUGUGAUGUAUAUGAAGUGUAAUGUUGGGAUGAAAACUCAAAAUUUAAAGAUAUUUCAACUCUAUAUCUGACAUGAUACAGGUGUCUUCUUAUGUUAAACCCAUAACCAUGUGUGUGAGGUGGAUACUGUUGUUAAACCCAUAACCAUGUGUGUGAGGUGGAUACUGUUGUUAAACCCAUAACCAUGUGUGUGAGGUAGAUACUGUUGUUAAACCCAUAACCAUGUGUGUGAGGUGGAUACUGUUGUUAAACCCAUAACCAUGUGUGUGAGGUGGAUACUGUUGUUAAACCCAUAACCAUGUGUGUGAGGUGGAUACUGUUGUUAAACCCAUAACCAUGUGUGUGAGGUAGAUACUGUUGUUAAACCCAUAACCAUGUGUGUGAGGUGGAUACUGUUGUUAAACCCAUAACCAUGUGUGUGAGGUAGAUACUGUUGUUAAACCCAUAACCAUGUGUGUGAGGUGGAUAAUGUUGUUAAACCCAUAACCAUGUGUGUGAGGUGGAUACUGUUGUUAAACCCAUAACCAUGUGUGUGAGGUAGAUACUGUUGUUAAACCCAUAACCAUGUGUGUGAGGUAGAUACUGUUGUUAAACCCAUAACCAUGUGUGUGAGGUAGAUACUGUUGUUAAACCCAUAACCAUGUGUGUGAGGUGGAUACUGUUGUUAAACCCAUAACCAUGUGUGUGAGGUAGAUACUGUUGUUAAACCCAUAACCAUGUGUGUGAGGUGGAUACUGUUGUUAAACCCAUAACCAUGUGUGUGAGGUAGAUACUGUUGUUAAACCCAUAACCAUGUGUGUGAGGUAGAUACUGUUGUUAAACCCAUAACCAUGUGUGUGAGGUAGAUACUGUUGUUAAACCCAUAACCAUGUGUGUGAGGUGGAUACUGUUGUUAAACCCAUAACCAUGUGUGUGAGGUGGAUACUGUUGUUAAACCCAUAACCAUGUGUGUGAGGUGGAUACUGUUGUUAAACCCAUAACCAUGUGUGUGAGGUGGAUACUGUUGUUAAGCCCAUAACCAUGUGUGUGAGGUGGAUACUGUUGUUAAACCCAUAACCAUGUGUGUGAGGUGGAUACUGUUGUUAAACCCAUAACCAUGUGUGUGAGGUGGAUACUGUUGUUAAACCCAUAACCAUGUGUGUGAGGUGGAUACUGUUGUUAAACCCAUAACCAUGUGUGUGAGGUGGAUACUGUUGUUAAACCCAUAACCAUGUGUGUGAGGUGGAUACUGUUGUUAAACCCAUAACCAUGUGUGUGAGGUGGAUACUGUUGUUAAACCCAUAACCAUGUGUGUGAGGUGGAUACUGUUGUUAAACCCAUAACCAUGUGUGUGAGGUGGAUACUGUUGUUAAACCCAUAACCAUGUGUGUGAGGUAGAUACUGUUGUUAAACCCAUAACCAUGUGUGUGAGGUGGAUACUGUUGUUAAACCCAUAACCAUGUGUGUGAGGUGGAUACUGUUGUUACAAAGUAGAUUUGUUUAAGACGACCAAGAAACAGUCU